AGUCAAGUAAUUAAGUGCAUGUGGUGGAUGCCUUGGCAGUCAGAGGCGAUGAAAGACGUGAUAGCCUGCGAAAAGCUCCGGGAGGCGGCAAAUAUCCUUUGAUCCGGAGAUGUCUGAAUGGGGGAACCCACCUACUUUAAGGUAGGUAUUGCAACAUGAAUACAUAGUGUUGCAAGGCGAACGAGGGGAAGUGAAACAUCUCAGUACCCUUAGGAAAAGAAAUCAAUUGAGAUUCCCUCAGUAGCGGCGAGCGAACGGGGAUCAGCCCAUUAAGUUAUGUGUGUUUUAGUGGAACGCUCUGGGAAGUGCGAACGUAGAGGGUGAUAUUCCCGUACACGAAAGGGCACACAUAAUGAUGACGAGUAGGGCGAGGCACGUGAAACCUUGUCUGAAUAUGGGGGGACCAUCCUCCAAGGCUAAAUACUCCUGACUGACCGAUAGUGAACCAGUACCGUGAGGGAAAGGCGAAAAGAACCCCUGUGAGGGGAGUGAAAUAGAUCCUGAAACCGCAUGCAUACAAGCAGUGGGAGCACCUUCGUGGUGUGACUGCGUACCUUUGUAUAAUGGGUCAGCGACUUAUAUUCAGUAGCGAGGUUAACCGUAUAGGGGAGCCGUAGAGAAAUCGAGUCUUAAUAGGGCGUUUAGUUGCUGGGUAUAGACCCGAAACCAGGCGAUCUAUCCAUGAGCAGGUUGAAGGUUGGGUAACACUAACUGGAGGACCGAACCCACUGUCGUUGAAAAGCCAGGGGAUGACUUGUGGAUAGGGGUGAAAGGCUAAUCAAGCCUGGUGAUAGCUGGUUCUCCCCGAAAGCUAUUUAGGUAGCGCCUCGGACGAAUACCAUAGGGGGUAGAGCACUGUUUCGGCUAGGGGGUCAUCCCGACUUACCAAACCGAUGCAAACUCCGAAUACCUAUGAGUACUAUCCGGGAGACAGACUGCGGGUGCUAACGUCCGUAGUCAAGAGGAAAACAAUCCAGACCGCCAGCUAAGGCCCCAAAAUCAUAGUUAAGUGGGAAACGAUGUGGGAAGGCAUAGACAGCUAGGAGGUUGGCUUAGAAGCAGCCACCCUUUAAAGAAAGCGUAAUAGCUCACUAGUCGAGUCGGCCUGCGCGGAAGAUGUAACGGGGCUAAAACUAUGUGCCGAAGCUGCGGAUGUAUACUUUGUAUACGUGGUAGGGGAGCGUUCUGUAAGCCGAUGAAGGUGUGUUGAGAAGCAUGCUGGAGGUAUCAGAAGUGCGAAUGCUGACGUGAGUAACGACAAAACGGGUGAAAAACCCGUUCGCCGAAAGACCAAGGGUUCCAGUCCAACGUUAAUCGGGGCUGGGUGAGUCGACCCCCAAGGCGAGGCCGAAAGGCGUAGCCGAUGGGAAAAUGGUUAAUAUUCCAUUACUUCUGCGUAAUGCGAUGAGAGGAUGGAGAAGGCAAAAUCAGCCUGGCGUUGGUUGUCCAGGUGAAAGGAUGUAGGCAUGUAUCUUAGGCAAAUCCGGGGUACUCUAUGCUGAGAUCUGAUAGCAAGCUGUACUUGUACAGCGAAGUGGUUGAUGCCAUGCUUCCAGGAAAAGUCUCUAAGCUUCAGUUACACAGGAAUCGUACCCGAAACCGACACAGGUGGUCAGGUCGAGUAGACCAAGGCGCUUGAGAGAACUCUGCUGAAGGAACUAGGCAAAAUGGUACCGUAACUUCGGGAGAAGGUACGCUGUUGUUGGUGAUGGAACUCGCUUCCUGAGCUGACGACAGCCGCAGAAACCAGGCCGCUGCAACUGUUUAUUAAAAACAUAGCACUCUGCAAACACGAAAGUGGACGUAUAGGGUGUGAUGCCUGCCCGGUGCUGGAAGGUUAAUUGAUGGGGUUAGCGUAAGCGAAGCUCUUGAUCGAAGCCCCAGUAAACGGCGGCCGUAACUAUAACGGUCCUAAGGUAGCGAAAUUCCUUGUCGGGUAAGUUCCGACCUGCACGAAUGGCAUAAUGAUGGCGGCGCUGUCUCCAGCAGAGGCUCAGUGAAAUCGAAAUCGCUGUGAAGAUGCAGUGUACCCGCGGCUAGACGGAAAGACCCCGUGAACCUUUACUGCAGCUUGACACUGAACUUUGACCUUACUUGUGUAGGAUAGGUGGGAGGCUUUGAAGCUGGAACGCUAGUUCCAGUGGAGCCGUCCUUGAAAUACCACCCUGGUAAUGUUGAGGUUCUAACUCUGUCCCGUGAUCCGGGACGAGGACCGUGUCUGGUGGGUAGUUUGACUGGGGCGGUCUCCUCCUAAAGAGUAACGGAGGAGUACGAAGGUGCGCUCAGCGUGGUCGGAAAUCACGCGUAGAGUAUAAAGGCAAAAGCGCGCUUAACUGCGAGACCCACAAGUCGAGCAGGUACGAAAGUAGGUCUUAGUGAUCCGGUGGUUCUGUAUGGAAGGGCCAUCGCUCAACGGAUAAAAGGUACUCUGGGGAUAACAGGCUGAUACCGCCCAAGAGUUCAUAUCGACGGCGGUGUUUGGCACCUCGAUGUCGGCUCAUCUCAUCCUGGGGCUGAAGCAGGUCCCAAGGGUAUGGCUGUUCGCCAUUUAAAGAGGUACGCGAGCUGGGUUUAGAACGUCGUGAGACAGUUCGGUCCCUAUCUACCGUGGGCGCUGGAAAUUUGAGAGGAUCUGCUCCUAGUACGAGAGGACCAGAGUGGACGAACCUCUGGUGUACCGGUUGUGACGCCAGUCGCAUCGCCGGGUAGCUAUGUUCGGAAGGGAUAACCGCUGAAAGCAUCUAAGCGGGAAGCCUACCUCAAGAUAAGAUUUCCCUAGGACUUUAUGUCCUCUAAAGAGCCGUUCGAGACUAGGACGUUGAUAGGUUGGAUGUGGAAGCAUAGUGAUAUGUGAAGCUGACCAAUACUAAUUGCUCGUGAGGCUUGACUAU
rnacentral:rRNA from 1 species